rnacentral:misc_RNA from 1 species
CCAAUAGCGUAUAUUAAAGUUGUUGCAGUUAAAAAGCUCGUAGUUGAACUUCGGGGUUUACUUAUUGGUCGGGCUUAAUUGUCUGCACUGGUAAGAUGAAUCUCUACCUUCUGAGGAACUUUCAUGCCAUUUAUUUGGUGUGAUUGGAAAUCAGGACUGUUACUUUGAAAAAAUUAGAGUGUUUAAAGCAGGCUAACGUCUGAAUACAUUAGCAUGGAAUAAUGAAAUAGGACGGACUGAUUCUAUUUCGUUGGUUUCUAGGAUCACCGUAAUGAUUAAUAGGGAUAGUUGGGGGCAUUAGUAUUCAAUUGUCAGAGGUGAAAUUCUUGGAUUUAUUGAAGACUAACUACUGCGAAAGCAUUUGCCAAGGAUGUUUUCAUUAAUCAAGAACGAAAGUUAGGGGAUCGAAGACGAUCAGAUACCGUCGUAGUCUUAACCAUAAACUAUGCCGACUAGGGAUCGGACGAAGUUAAUUUUAUAAUGACGCGUUCGGCACCUUACG